AGAAACUUAGGAUUAAUUCAAACCGAAGGCCUUCAAAGCCUUAAACAAGAGUUAAACUCUCUUAGUUUCUG
rnacentral:tRNA from 1 species